rnacentral:rRNA from 1 species
AAGCGUUGUCCGGAAUUACUGGGCGUAAAGGGUGCGUAGGUGGCCAAAUAAGUCAGGUGUGAAAGACCGGGGCUCAACCCCGGGGUUGCACUUGAAACUGUAUGGCUUGAGUACAGGAGAGGGAAGUGGAAUUCCUAGUGUAGCGGUGAAAUGCGUAGAUAUUAGGAGGAACACCAGUGGCGAAGGCGACUUUCUGGACUGUAACUGACACUGAGGCAACGAAAGCGGUGGGGAGAC